GACGUAGGGCGCGAGCGUUGUCCGGAAUCAUUGGGCGUAAAGAGCGUGUAGGCGGUCCGGUAAGUCCGCUGUGAAAGUCGGGGGCUCAACCCUCGAAUGCCGGUGGAUACUGUCGGGCUAGAGUGCGGAAGAGGCGAGUGGAAUUCCUGGUGUAGCGGUGAAAUGCGCAGAUAUCAGGGGGAACACCUAUUGCGAAGGCAGCUCGCUGGGACGUAACUGACGCUGAGACGCGAAAGCGUGGGGAGCAAACAGG
rnacentral:rRNA from 1 species